UAUGGAGUGUGAGAGGUUCUGUCUGUAACAGAGGGUAGUUGGAUAUGGGGUGAGAGGUUCUGUCUGUAACAGAGGGUAGUUGGAUAUGGAGUGUGAGAGGUUCUGUCUGUAACAGAGGGUAGUUGGAUAUGGAGUGUGAGAGGUUCUGUCUGUAACAGAGGGUAGUUGGAUAUGGAGUGUGAGAGGUUCUGUCUGUAACAGAGGGUAGUUGGAUAUGGAGUGUGAGAGGUUCUGCCUGUAACAGAGGGUAGUUGGAUAUGGAGUGUGAGAGGUUCUGUCUGUAACAGAGGGUAGUUGGAUAUGGAGUGUGAGAGGUUCUGCCUGUAACAGAGGGUAGUUGGAUAUGGAGUGUGAGAGGUUCUGUCUGUAACAGAGGGUAGUUGGAUAUGGAGUGUGAGAGGUUCUGUCUGUAACAGAGGGUAGUUGGAUAUGGAGUGUGAGAGGUUCUGUCUGUAACAGAGGGUAGUUGGAUAUGGAGUGUGAGAGGUUCUGCCUGUAACAGAGGGUAGUUGGAUAUGGAGUGUGAGAGGUUCUGUCUGUAACAGAGGGUAGUUGGAUAUGGAGUGUGAGAGGUUCUGCCUGUAACAGAGGGUAGUUGGAUAUGGAGUGUGAGAGGUUCUGUCUGUAACAGAGGGUAGUUGGAUAUGGAGUGUGAGAGGUUCUGUCUGUAACAGAGGGUAGUUGGAUAUGGAGUGUGAGAGGUUCUGUCUGUAACAGAGGGUAGUUGGAUAUGGAGUGUGAGAGGUCCUGCCUGUAACAGAGGGUAGUUGAAUAUGGAGUGUGAGAGGUUCUGCCUGUAACAGAGGGUAGUUGGAUAUGGAGUGUGAGAGGUUCUGUCUGUAACAGAGGGUAGUUGGAUAUGGAGUGUGAGAGGUUCUGCCUGUAACAGAGGGUAGUUGGAUAUGGAGUGUGAGAGGUUCUGUCUGUAACAGAGGGUAGUUGGAUAUGGAGUGUGAGAGGUUCUGCCUGUAACAGAGGGUAGUUGGAUAUGGAGUGUGAGAGGUUCUGUCUGUAACAGAGGGUAGUUGGAUAUGGAGUGUGAGAGGUUCUGUCUGUAACAGAGGGUAGUUGGAUAUGGAGUGUGAGAGGUCCUGCCUGUAACAGAGGGUAGUUGGAUAUGGAGUGUGAGAGGUUCUGUCUGUAUGUAACAAAGGGUAGUUAGACCUGCCUCUGAAUGUCAACACCACAUCGUGAAAGUGACAGUUCAUUGAUCACAGCCGCUGUCCCCUCCUUCCCUAGUCCAUCACUUCUGUCCACACCGCCAUUUUAGACUGCAGAGAUCUGAAGCAGACCGUCUCUCUCUCCCAACCUCUCUCACUGGGUCUCCCUGUCUGUAAAAUCAACCGGGCUUGUAUUUAAUCCAGUAUUUAAAAGGUGAGAAGUGGGUAAACGCUGAGAGGAGUUUAAAGAGACUGCUGCACAAUGAUGGUGGCAUUUAAAUGCCAAGUGGCAGCGAGGGUGUGUAUAAUAUCUCAUCUUUAUGGCUUGUUGCUUUUAGUUGGGCUGGCUGGCUGGCUGGCUGGCUGGCUGGUUGGCUGGCUGGUUGGCUGGCUGGCUGGUUGGCUGGCUGGCUGGUUGGCUGGUUGGCUGGCUGGACUAACAGAGGUUGUUUACUUGUUGCUUUUAGUUGGGCUGGUUGGCUGGUUGACUGACUGGCUGGCUGGCUGGCUAGACUAACUGAGUUUGUUUGCUCGUUGAUUUUAGUUGGGCUGGCUGGCUGACUGGCUAGACUAACGGAGGUUGUUUGCUCGUUGAUUUUAGUUGGGCUGGCUGGCUGACUGGACUAACGGAGGAUGCAGUGCGUUUCAGACAGCUGCUGGAGCAGGGGGUAUAGAGAACAAGGUGACAGCUGGUACAGCGUCUCUGGUCACACACACACAUGCAGAUGGCUGUUUAUUAAUUACAGGAGUGAGGAGAGAUGAUGGAAGAAAGAGCGAGAGAGGGGAGACAGAGAUUCACCAUUGUAAAUACAACCUAUAUUAAUCUGUUUAUUGAUUUUCCAAUUCAUACUUCAACUAUUUGCACAUUGUGACAAAACUGUACAUAGUCAAUAUAACAUUUGCAAUGUCUAUUAUUUUCAAAAACUUUCCCAUGCCAAUAAAGCCCUUUGAAUAGAGAGGAGUGCUCGAGAGACCAGGCAGAGAGACCAGGCAGAGAGACCAGGCAGAGGGCGAGAGACCAGGCAAAGAGACCAGGCAGAGAGACCAGGCAGAGGGCGAGAGACCAGGCAGAGAGACCAGGCAGAGAGACCAGGCAGAGGGCGAGAGACCAGGCAGAGAGACCAGGCAGAGGGCGAGAGACCAGGCAGAGAGACCAGGCAGAGAGACCAGGCAGAGAGACUAGGCAGAGGGCGAGAGACCAGGCAGAGAGACCAGGCAGAGAGACCAGGCAGAGAGACCAGGCAGAGGGCGAGAGACCAGGCAGAGAGACCAGGCAGAGAGACCAGGCAGAGAGACCAGGCAGAGAGACUAGGCAGAGGGCGAGAGACCAGGCAGAGAGACCAGGCAGA